rnacentral:rRNA from 1 species
AUUGAACGCUGGCGGCAUGCCUAACACAUGCAAGUCGAACGGUAACGACGGGAGCUUGCUCCCGGGCGACGAGUGGCGGACGGGUGAGUAAUACUUAGGAAUCUGCCCAGUAGUGGGGGACAACUCGAGGAAACUCGAGCUAAUACCGCAUACGCCCUACGGGGGAAAGUGGAGGAUCUUCGGACUUCACGCUAUUGGAUGAGCCUAAGUCGGAUUAGCUUGUAGGUAGGGUAACGGCCUACCUAGGCAACGAUCCGUAGCUGGUCUGAGAGGACGAUCAGCCACACUGGAACUGAGACACGGUCCAGACUCCUACGGGAGGCAGCAGUGGGGAAUAUUGGACAAUGGGCGCAAGCCUGAUCCAGCAAUGCCGCGUGUGUGAAGAAGGCCUGCGGGUUGUAAAGCACUUUCAGUGGAGAAGAAAAGCUUACGGUUAAUACCCGUGAGUCUUGACGUAACCCACAGAAGAAGCACCGGCUAACUCCGUG